CCACCCAAGUAGCAUAGGGCCCGAGAAACCUUGUGUGAAUCUGGCGGGACCACCCGUUAAGCCUAAAUAUUCCCUGGUGACCGAUAGUGGAUAGUACCGUGAGGGAAUGGUGAAAAGUACCGCGGGAGCGGAGUGAAAGAGUACCUGAAACCGUGUGCCUACAAGCCGUGGGAGCGUCGCGGUGAGUGCUUGCACUCAUCGUCGUGACUGCGUGCCUUUUGAAGAAUGUGCCUG
rnacentral:rRNA from 1 species